rnacentral:lncRNA from 1 species
UGAACACUGAACUGAGAUAUGCAUACAAUGUAUGUGGGCGGAAUCAAUAUUCGCACCUUGAGUCAUACAAGUUUGAUGCCUGAAAGAUUGAUUAAUCAUGUUCUUUUUAUUGAGCUGAAUGUAUGAAUUCUUGCAGGAUUGUGGCUCCUACAUAUACAAAUGACCAACAUAAUCGAUAACUGCCCUAUUCAAGGGGAUCUUCAGUUAGAAGUAAUCCUGCUUUACUGUUCCGUAAGCUCUGAUGCAAAUACGCCGCCCAAAGAUCUGAAGCUUCGACAAAAUGAAUUCCAAUUGCACAAGUGGAGAGAUAAGGUCGGGUUGAAACCUGUUUACUUUCUGCAUAGGUAGCAAGCAUUUCAUUGAACAGAUCAUGUCUGAGUGUAAUUACACUUCUAGUUGUGUGUGCCGGCCGGCGAGGUGUUAGUUUUCUUUCCUGUCCGGUACUGUCCGCCACUGAUAGUUAUGCUACGAGGGUAGUUGUAGUACGUACAGUCCAAUGUAAUACUGUGUUACUUCACUUUUUAUUUUUCAUUUCAGAGUAAAUACUGCCACCUCCAUCUCCAUAACUAGCAGUGUAAAUGCCGCCUCCAUACGAGAGUAAAUACUGCCACUGCUUGUGUACACCAACCUGUUUGUGAGAAUACCUGUAAAGAAUCCGAACUAUUAUAUCUUCAAAGCACUGAGUAUAGUUCAUGUUUGUCAUGUCCCGCUGUGGAUUUGGAACAAGAAAUACUUAAAAACAUUGUAGACAUUUUUUUUGUAUAUCCUGUAGAACAGAACAUGGUGAUUGGGUGAUAAGUAGUGGAACAAUGCGUCUGGCAUGUGCAAGUUUGAUUUGCUAAAAGAUUGAGUUGUUAUGUUGGUCUAUCUUGGACGGAAUGAGCGCAAAUUCCUUGUAGGGUUGCUCCUCUGUCAGGAACCAACAUUCUGUGACCCCUGAAGAUCCCCUGUUCAUGAUCAACAUCUGAACUCAACUGAAGAAUAG